UACGUAGGUGACAAGCGUUGUCCGGAUUUACUGGGCGUAAAGAGCGUGCAGGCGGUCGUUCAAGUCGAGUGUGAAAGCCCCCGGCUCAACUGGGGAGGGUCAUUCGAUACUGAUCGACUCGAAGGCAGGAGAGGGUAGUGGAAUUCCCGGUGUAGUGGUGAAAUGCGUAGAUAUCGGGAGGAACACCAGUGGCGAAGGCGACUACCUGGCCUGUUCUUGACGCUGAGGCGCGAAAGCUAGGGGAGCAAACGGG
rnacentral:rRNA from 1 species